rnacentral:lncRNA from 1 species
CGCCUGAAGAUAACCAGUCAACACAAAUCAGAGGGGAGAUCUGGAGACAAGGCUCUGCCCAGGCUUUCCAGGGACCAACAAACAAGUGGGCUAUGGGGCUUUCAGAUGCCCUUCCCAUAAAUACUCAGCCUCAGUGUACAUCUGUCAGCCUAACUCAGGGCCAAGCCAGACAAUGGGGCUGCAAAGAGGUUGAAGCUGAACAUUGAAUUAGCCCACCUGACUUGUCCAUUAAGGAGCUUACGGUGACCCAUCGACCUUUGAGCCAACAACACGGAAUCCAUUAUCAUCACCACGGAGGAGCCGGGGCUCUGCCGGCUCGACAAUGGGCCCAGGAAAUCCCAAAUAUAAUUUUUCCUGAGGACUUGAUAUUCAAGAAUAGAGGAAAAGGUAUAAAAAAUGAAAGCAUUCCCGAAAGAUAUGUAAUUUGGAAUAACAACAGAAAAAAGAAUAGCAUAGAUGUGUGCAUAAGAAGUGCCAUCACCAGACACUGGCAACAAACAGAAGCUAUGCUUUCUGUCUAGAAAUCAUGUGUCAGACUACAAACCUCAGGCAAAAGUUAGCAACAACUUGAUGGUGAAAUAACAACAGAAGAGUGAAAAUCUUUGGACGUAAAUGGAGCUCCAAACUGUCUCAGCUUUCAGUGGCCAAAAAUAAACUGGCUCUUGGCUGAAAGACA